rnacentral:rRNA from 1 species
AAUGAACGUUGGCGGCGUGGAUUAGGCAUGCAAGUCGUACGCACAGCAAUGUGAGUGGCGCAAGGGUGAGUAAUGCGAAGGUAACCAACCCUGGAGUUGGGCAUAACCGCGGGAAACUGCGGGUAAUUCCCAGCGAUGUUAUGAGGUGGCAUCAUCUUGUAACCAAAGGUGUGAUUCCGCUCUAGGACGGGCCUUCGUGGUAUUAGCUAGUUGGUGGGGUAACGGCCUACCAAGGCAACGAUGCCUACCGGGUGUGAGAGCAUGACCCGGCACACUGGAACUGAGACACUGUCCAGACACCUACGGGUGGCUG